GAACAGGUCCUUACUACUUCAUGCUUGAAGCACAGUGGAGAUUUGGUUCUUUCAGUCACUGGUUUGCCAGGACCCAACACAAUAAUUUACAGGCUGCAAUGAUGUAUCUGUAGUGUUGAGGCUUUAACAACGUACUCGUUUGAUAGAUACCCUAUGCAGGUGUGACCUUUACAGCGGUUAUGUUAAAUAGCCUCGUGCUAAUCAGUUAUCUCCUGUUACAAGUAACACAAGGAAAAGUUACAUCAUGCUUUAAAUCACUGUACUGGAUUUCCUUCAUGUAUUUAGGUGCUUGAAUUAUCUGUAAACUUCCUGAAGAAUAGCAUGGAUUGAUGUCAAGCGUUAUGGAAAUAUGUGGAAUAUUCUGUACUGUUCUAGUGACCCUGGACUGGUCAAACACUGCGUAGAAAGUACUGGAAGCUGGUUGGAUUAUAUAAGUGGAGCGGGUGCAUCCCUGUCUCAUCUCACAUUUCAUCUGAUAUUACAUCAAGACAAGCUUUUGUGUGAAGAUCUCGGAAGUUUGACCACUGUUGGGAUGAGGUCCUACUGCUGGGGUGAUCUAACACUGAAUGGACCAACUCCGAGAGAUAUUGAGAUUCCAUCAUUUGCAACAUCUGCUAUUAAUGUGAAGAAUAGUUGACACUGGACUGGUCAAACACUGUGUAGAAAGUACUGGAAGCUGGAUGAGUCCCUGUCUCACCUCACAUUUCAUCUGAUAUUACAUCAAGACCAGCUUCUGUCUGAAGAUCACUUUGGAUUCCUAGCCUAGGCCUAUCUCGGAAGCUUGACCACUGUUGAGGCAAGGUGAUUGUUAUUCUUGUCAUUGUCAUUAAUACUGCUCUCACCUUUUUAUUCUGCCAUUGAAUAUUGUGCUACCACUCAAUUGUGUACUGCCAUUGUAAUUGCUGUGUAGUAAUUCGUAA